CAUUCCUUUUCCCACAGAUAACUAUGGUCUUCCUGUCAGCCUACAGGAAUCCCAUUCCUUUCCCCCAGUGUAACCAGACUCCCUGCCACAGAGAAACAGCACUCUCCUUAGCUUCGCCACAGAGCAAUCAGUCAUUGCUACACGGCUGAUCCUCCAAUGCUGCAGUAACCACAGAAACCACACAGAGCUUGGACUGAGCACGUGGUUACGGACGCAAUCAUCAUUUUUAACACAGAGAGAUGAAGUCACUCAAUCUUCUCUCGGAUGAAAAUAAAAUAUUGAAAUACAACUUUGGAAAUAAACGUUCUUCCUCCCAAUGGAGAAACGUGUGCUGUGAAGACAAGACUCCAUUUUAAGUCCCUGAGUAAGGGACAAGAAGACCAAUGGGACAGAUUCCCGAGAAGCCAUUAAAAAUUGGAGUGUUCCAACCUCAGAGAAGGGAAGUCAUUUCCGUGAAGCACUGGUGUGAACAACAGUCACAGGUGGGAAGAGCAAUGGGACAAGGAAGAGGAGGAAGGAAACAGUCCCAUAAUUUUAGAAAGAGUGUGAAAAAAAGAAGCUAGACAUCUAGGUUCUAUUUCUGGCUCUGCCUCUGUUUUCUAGCCAGCCAGCCAUCUCUCUACCUAUCUCUACAUUAAUUGCAAAAGGUGGAGAAGAAUACAGACUGGGUAUAAAGCACCUUGUCAUGCUUGGAUGAAAGGUCCUGUGUCACAGCCAGCGCACACCCAGAAUUGAUCAUGUUAUGAAAUCCACACUGUGUUGUAAUAUAUAAGUUUCAAGUUUCUCGGGAAUACUUUUACUCUGAAUUCAUCAAGUUAGAGAAAACAAAAUUGCAUUUUUAGGUGCGAACAACAAAAUGGAUGUAACACACUGAAAACAGAGGAUGGUUGUGAGAAAGGCUUACCCUGUACAAACUUGUAAUGUCAGUGAAAUUUGUGAUCCUUCCUAUCCUUUCUCUUCCUGCAUUAUUUCUUCCUUAUCAAGUGCCCAUUCCCCUAAAUCCCAUUUUUUUCUUAUCAUCCUAUGUCCUCAGUAUUAAUGACUAGAUAAUU
rnacentral:lncRNA from 1 species